rnacentral:lncRNA from 1 species
CUGGAAUUGAUUCUUAUUGUUCUCGGUUAUGAUUGUCGCUCCUAUUGGUACUGAACUCAGGAAGAGCAACCUGUUGUUCUAUGUAUUACCAGAUUAAAGAAUAUAUGGUAAUCAUCAUUGCUGACGGAGCAACACAGGGUCUUCCUUCAAACAAAUUGCAAUCGAUGAACCAGCAGCCAACAACAACAUGAACAGAUGAAUGGGAUUGUAUAACGAGCCAUAUAAUUA